GAAACGACUGCUAAGACUGGAUAGGAAAAGUGAAGGCAUCUUUACUUUUUUAAAAGACCUUCUUUGAAGGUAUGCUUAAGGAGGGGCUUGCGACACAUUAGUUAGUUGGCAGGGUAAAGGCCUACCAAGACUAUGAUGUGUAGCUGGACUGAGAGGUUGAACAGCCACAUUGGGACUGAGACACGGCCCAAACUCCUACGGGAGGCAGCAGUAGGGAAUUUUCGGCAAUGGAGGAAACUCUGACCGAGCAACGCCGCGUGAACGAUGAAGUACCUCGGUAUGUAAAGUUCUUUUAUUAAGGAAGAAAAAAGAGUGGAAAAACUCCCUUGACGGUACUUAAUGAAUAAGCCCCGGCUAAUUAUGUGCCAGCAGCCGCGGUAAUACAUAAGGGGCGAGCGUUAUCCGGAAUUAUUGGGCGUAAAGGGUGCGUAGGCGGUUUAAUAAGUCUAUAGUUUAAUUUCAGCGCUUAACGCUGUUGUGCUAUAGAAACUGUUUUACUAGAGUGAGAUAGAGGCAAGCGGAAUUCCAUGUGUAGCGGUAAAAUGCGUAAAUAUAUGGAGGAACACCAGAGGCGUAGGCGGCUUGCUGGGUCUUUACUGACGCUGAGGCACGAAAGCGUGGGGAGCAAACAGGAUUAGAUACCCUGGUAGUCCACGCUGUAAACGAUGAGUACUAAGUGUCGGGUAAAACCGGUACUGAAGUUAACACAUUAAGUACUCCGCCUGAGGAGUACGUACGCAAGUAUGAAACUUAAAGGAAUUGACGGGACUCCGCACAAGCGGUGGAUCAUGUUGUUUAAUUCGAAGAUACACGAAAAACCUUACCAGGUCUUGACAUUUUCUUGCGAAGUUAUAGAAAUAUAAUGGAGGUUAUCAGGAAAACAGGUGGUGCAUGGUUGUCGUCAGCUUGUGUCGUGAGAUGUUAGGUUAAGUCCUAAAACGAGCGCAACCCUUGUCGUUAAUUGCCAGCAUGUAAUGAUGGGGACUUUAACGAGACUGCCAAUGAAAAAUUGGAGGAAGGUGGGGAUUACGUCAAAUCAUCAUGCCCCUUAUGAUCUGGGCUACAAACGUGAUACAAUGGUUGAUACAAAGAGUAGCUGAAACGUGAGUUCUUAGCCAAUCUCACAAAAUCAAUCUCAGUUCGGAUUGAAGUCUGCAACUCGAUUUCAUGAAGUUGGAAUCGCUAGUAAUCGUGAAUCAGCAUGUCGCGGUGAAUACGUUCUCGGGGUUUGUACACACCGCCCGUCA
rnacentral:rRNA from 1 species